GCUUCUUUGAGACCGGCGCACGGGUGCGUAACGCGUAUGCAAUCUACCUUUCACAAAGGGAUAGCCCAGAGAAAUUUGGAUUAAUACCUUAUAGUAAUACGACUUGGCAUCAAGAUGUAUUUAAAGAUUUAUCGGUGAAAGAUGAGCAUGCGUCCCAUUAGCUAGUUGGUAUGGUAACGGCAUACCAAGGCUACGAUGGGUAGGGGUCCUGAGAGGGAGAUCCCCCACACUGGUACUGAGACACGGACCAGACUCCUACGGGAGGCAGCAGUGAGGAAUAUUGGACAAUGGGCGCAAGCCUGAUCCAGCCAUGCCGCGUGCAGGAUGACGGUCCUAUGGAUUGUAAACUGCUUUUAUACAGGAAGAAACACCUCUACGUGUAGAGACUUGACGGUACUGUAAGAAUAAGGAUCGGCUAACUCCGUGCCAGCAGCCGCGGUAAUACGGAGGAUCCAAGCGUUAUCCGGAAUCAUUGGGUUUAAAGGGUCCGUAGGCGGUCA
rnacentral:rRNA from 1 species